rnacentral:rRNA from 1 species
UACGUAGGGGACGAGCGUUGUCCGGAUUUAUUGGGCGUAAAGAGCGUGUAGGCGGCCAAACAGGUCAGCUGUGAAAACUCGAGGCUCAACCUCGAGACGUCGGUUGAAACCGUUUGGCUAGAGUCCGGAAGAGGAGAGUGGAAUUCCCGGUGUAGCGGUGAAAUGCGCAGAUAUCGGGAAGAACACCCGUGGCGAAGGCGGCUCUCUGGGACGGUACUGACGCUGAGACGCGAAAGCGUGGGGAGCGAACAGG